GGGUUAAGUCCCGCAACGAGCGCAACCCUUGCCAUUAGUUGCUACGAAAGGGCACUCUAAUGGGACUGCCGGGUGACAAACCGGAGGAAGGUGGGGAUGACGUCAAGUCCUCAUGGCCCUUAUAGUGGGGCUACACACGUCAUACAAUGGCCGGUACAGAGGGUAGCCAACCCGCGAGGGGGAGCCAAUCCCACAAAGCCGGUCGUAGUCCGGAUCGCAGUCUGCAACUCGACUGCGUGAGGUCGGAAUCGCUAGUAAUCGCGGAUCAGCAUGUCCGCGGUCGAAUACGUUCCCGGGUCCUU
rnacentral:rRNA from 1 species